UACAUGGGGUGCAAACGUUGCUCGGAAUUAUUGGGCGUAAAGGGCGCGUAGGCGGCUUCAUAAGUCAAAGGUGAAAUCCCUCGGCUCAACUGAGGAACUGCCUUUGAAACUGUGGAGCUUGAGGCCGGGAGGGGGUAGCGGAAUUCCCAGUGUAGCGGUGAAAUGCGUAGAUAUUGGGAGGAACACCAGUGGCGAAGGCGGCUACCUGGACCAGCACUGACACUCAGACACGAAAGCGUGGGGAGCAAACAGG
rnacentral:rRNA from 1 species